AGGAGGAAAACAGUGAGGAUGCUAACAAGUGCUUCUGGUUUCACCUAAGAUACGCCCUGACAGGUCUUGAAGCAGUAGGGUGGCCAGCAGAAAGUGAUCUUCAAGUUCUUGCCAAAACUAAGAGCCUAAACCAGAACUCAGUGUGGAAGAAGGAAGCUAUAAACCAUCCAUAUUUUUAGAGUCAAUUUAAAUUUAGAAGAUGGGAAGGACUUUCUCUUUACCUAAACAACAAAGUCCGAAUGGCAGUUCUUUAAAUGACAGCUUGUAUCCUUGGCCUCUGCUGAACCCUACUUCAGAAUGAAUCAUGCCGUUUGCCAACAAGUGGAAUCAAGGUGGGGUCACAAGGCAGAAAACCACCUGGAGUUAUGGCAGUUCAGUGUUAACAGCUGUGGAGCCCAAUUCUGUGCCAGGCACUAUGCUGACAGCUAAAGACCCCAAGAUGAUUGACACACCAUUGCUGCUACUAUCCAGGGAAGCCACGCGAAAUGGCCAUUGUGAUGCACUGUGGUAGCUGCUGUGACAGCACAGAGGUCACGGUGCAUGGAGGCACUCCUUUCUACCUCAGCCUAAAGGCCUCCUGGAGGACCUGGCCCCUGAGUAAAAACACUGCAGAGGCUCGCUGACCUGGCUGUUAUAUCAGAAUCAUAAGCUCUUGCAGGGCUUAUUACAUCCAGAUGGCUGAGCUCUACCACCCGAGUUUCUGAUUCAGUACGUCUGGAGAAAAGACUGAGAGUCUGCCUGUCAAGCAACUUCCCAGGAGAAAGAGACACAGGUGCUGCUGGUCUGGGAACUGCCCUCUGAGAACCACUGUACUAAAGGAACAUGACCUCUGUGUGUCUUCUAGGGACCACCUAUUUUGAAGCCAUUGGGACGAUCAGAUUGCAACAAUGGAUCUGAAUGUAUUGGGAAACCAUGAAGGGCUACGCAAAGAUGAAAACAUGGAACCAGGAAAAACAGUCUGGGAUGAAAGAGUGAAUGAAUAUCAGACCAGGCUGAGAAUGCAGAAACAGUCCCGCUGUCAACAGGGCUAGGGGGACGACAGACAUAAAGCCUACUGCAAAGAUGGCAGGAAACUAUGUUUCCCUCAAGGUCUUACAGCCGCUGUAAAAUGCCAGAAAAGACACCCUCUUUGAGGGACCACUGCUUUUCUGCCGAUGUUGCCCUCUGACCUGCUUUGCUAUGUCUUCUCCUCUGAAUAAAGAUUACUGGGGACACUA